AACGAACGCUGGCGGCAUGCCUAAUACAUGCAAGUCGAACGAGACCUUCUGGUCUAGUUGCGAACGGGUUCGUAACGCGUGGGAACCUUCCCUUAGGUUCGGAAUAACUCCCCGAAAGGGGUGCUAAUACCGGAUAAUGUCUUCGGACCAAAGAUUUAUCGCCUUUGGAUGGGCCCGCGUUGGAUUAGCUAGUUGGUAAGGUAAAAGCCUACCAAGGCGACGAUCCAUAGCUGGUCUGAGAGGAUGAUCAGCCACACUGGGACUGAGACACGGCCCAGACUCCUACGGGAGGAAGCAGUGGGGAAUAUUGGACAAUGGGCGAAAGCAUGAUCCAGCAAUGCCGCGUGAGUGAUGAAGGCCUUAGGGUUGUAAAGCUCUUUUACCCGGGAUGAUAAUGACAGUACCGGGAGAAUAAGCUCCGGCUAACUCCGUG
rnacentral:rRNA from 1 species